AUUGAACGCUGGCGGCAUGCCUUACACAUGCAAGUCGAACGGUAACGCGGGGCAACCUGGCGACGAGUGGCGAACGGGUGAGUAAUGCAUCGGAACGUACCCAGUAGUGGGGGAUAGCCCGGCGAAAGCCGGAUUAAUACCGCAUACGACCUACGGGUGAAAGGGGGGAGUCGCAAGACCUCUCGCUAUUGGAGCGGCCGAUGUCAGAUUAGGUAGUUGGUGGGGUAAAGGACCUACCAAGCCUGUGAUCUGUAGCUGGUCUGAGAGGACGACCAGCCACACUGGGACGUGAGACACGGCCCGACGACUCCUACGGGAGGGCAGCAGU
rnacentral:rRNA from 1 species